rnacentral:lncRNA from 1 species
AACAAUGUAACUAGGGUUUUCAACUUGAGUGUGGAAUCACUCGUAUUGGAUUCAAGCUUGGAAACAUUAGAUGCUUGGGAGAUCGAGGUCCCUCUUGUACCAACGUAAGAGAUAGGUGAAUCUUUGUGAGUAGUGUUAAGAGUCCAAGAGUGGAAUAUGUUCUUGGAUUCUUAAAUUUAUUCCUUCAUGUAGUCUAUUUAUCUAUCUUUUUGUUCAUUGUAAUCUUGUAACCGUUGUGUGUCUUGCUUGUGGAACCCUUGAGUAUUGUUAUAAUAUAGUUAUUGUUCUUCGUAUCCUUCAUCUCGUGUUGAUAAUAUUAGUUUGUGGUGGUUGGUUAGGUGUUGAAACACACCCCUAUCUCGUGUAUUGUUGUUCUUGUUUGUGAAUCCGAGUGUGGUCAUCAAAAGGGUCCUCGACUCUUUGAGCAUGUGGACUAAUUUUGCUGUUUGUUUCAUGCUCCCUUGUCUUUCUUGUAUCAAUAAGUAAAAAGAUAACUUUUCAAAAUCCAAAGUGUGUAAUAGGAAUACUUUAAGUUAAUUCUUUCCAUAGCAUAUUAUUUUACAUUAUAAUAGUAAAAAUAUUAAUUUGUUUUCCUCGAUCCAACACUUUCUAACAACAUAUUAGUUGCUUCAUAUGUCAUUUCGAGAAAGUUUUAAAAGCUUUUUUCUUUUUGGAUUGCUCUAUAGCUUUGAUAGUUUUUCUUAGUUUAGAUUAAAGUGGUUCUUAAUAUUUUUAUAUGAUUUUCUAUGAAUAUAUUAAUUUUCUAUUUAAAUGUUUUUUGUAUUUCAUAAAAUUAUCAAUUUAUUUAACUUAUUAAUCAAGACAUAAUUUCUUUAUAUUAUCAAAGUGAUUUUAUAAAAGUGAACACAUUAAAGCGAGGUGCACGCGUAGGGCGCGUAUCCUAAACUAGUAAUAUAAAUUGAGCUAGACAUCAGUGAAUUAUUUAUUCAAACUCCACAAACUCAAUUUUGAGACUUUUCAUUUUUAAUAUAGUAUUAGUUUAACCACAUGUGUGUCUCACACGUGUAACCUUAGAUUAUUUAAAAUUAAAAGUUAAUAAUUGAAUGGUGAAAAAAAUAAUUGAGUCCCGAAACAGGAUUGACACUUUACAACAAAAACAUCUUCUAAGCAUAGUUGGAUUCCAACGAUGUACCUGCAAAUGAUAGGCGACAUUUCAAGAGUUGAAUGGAAAAGUCUUAUGUUCUAUAAUAUUGCAAGACCCAAAGCCAUCUUUAUCAUGUGGCUUUAUCUGUAGGAUAGGCUUCUAAGUGUUUGAUCGUUUAAUCAGCUGGGGUAUGUCUGUGCACCCAAUAUGUGUGAUGUGUGGUAAUUUAACAGAAUCAAGAGACCACUUCUUUUUUGGAUGUAUCUUUGCUGCCAAGCGAUUAUGCGCAUAUCUGAUUAAGUGGAUGAAGAUCCCUGUCCACCCUACUAGUUCAUGGAAUCAACAUCAGCAGUGGCUUUUUCAAAGAAACGAAGGGAGAUCCAAGCAGACUAGAACGCUAAGGAUGAUAUAUGUUGAGUAUGUACUUGCCAUUUGGGGAGAACGAAACAACAACACUUUUGAGAACCUGGUGAAACAAUGGGAACCAAUUGGCAGAGAAAUCACGUACAUAUGUAACAUGAGGGCGGAAGAAAAUAUGAAGAUAUUGAUGCAAAGCCUCUUGUUGCCAGCUAAAUGUGUCUAGUUGUUACUCCAUAUUCUACUCUUCAACUCUUCAUGUAAUAGAAAGAAGUAUAAUGGUUGUGGUCGUAUAAAGCGAGACUAAUUUUGCAUAGCAGAUUGUGUUAGUCUGGCUAGUUUUGUAAUGCAUUCUUGAUAGUUAAUAAAGUUGUUAGUUACAAAAAAUAGCUUGCAAGACAUAAGAUAAUUGGUAAUAUCUUAUUAUGAGAACUUCAAUCAGUAAACUGUAUUUCAAAACAAACAAGCAACAGAGUACAGACAAUGAAAAACUAGCUCCAAUAUAUGACACUGCAGAGUUCCACUACUAUACAUGCCAUUCCUUCUAAACUUGUCAAUCAAAAUAUAAAGAAAAAAAAAAGCUUGCUAUUUCUUCUGAUUCCCUUAUUCUUCCUUAAUUAGUUAUUGUAUCAUCAGUUGCAUCUGACACUGUAUAAGGUCUAAGAUGAAUAUAUCUAAAUCAUCUGAAUUUUUUCCUUUAACUUUGACAACUAGAUGCGUGCAAAUUGACAAUUGAUGAGUGCCAAAGACACCAAUUGAUGAAUUUCAAACUGGAACGGGUAUCUUACCUUAUAACAAAGAAAUAGCAAGCCAAAAGUUCAAUUUCUAGCUCGAAUCACCGUCCUACCAACUUCCCCAAAGAAUUUGCACUACCAAAAAGAGGUUAUACAACUUCGCCAAACAAUUGCCAUCUCUAAAUCCAAUAAAUUCAAGGAACUUUGAAGCAACUUGAGUUUUUACAACCCAGACCAACCUCGGUACUACUUGAUUUGUGGAUAAAUCAAUCUCAAUGUCAUUCACUUCCUCAUUGAGAAUGGUUGCGGAAUCAAAGAUUUUGGUUGGCUUAGGAGCCUCUUCUUGAUCACAACAGAAUCUUUCUUGACCCAUUUAUCAUCUUACAAAACAUAUCCCAUGCUACCAAAGGAAUCAUCACUAUUCUUAUACACUCAAAUAUUAGCAUAAAAUACGAACAAGUUAUUCAUAGACCUCUAUUACAUAAAGUUUCAAUAGUAGACCAAGGUGUUGAGCCUAGAGAAAGGUACUUACCAGACAAUGGCUAUCCUUGAGUUGUCCCAGAUUGAUGAUUCGACCACCAACUUGUGAGCAUUUCUUAAGAGCAGGGUAUCUAUUCUUCUAUUCUACACUCUAGAAUAGGUGUAGAUCAACGAAAUUGAAAUCUGAGUCGUCACAAACUUCAUAUUUUUGGGAGAAGGGUUUUUGAUAGAUGGGUUUUUUGAGGGUUUUGGAGUUGCAUUUUGGGAUUCUUCUCAAUCGAAGCCCUACAAGACCUAGAGAGAGUGAGAGGAGAAAAUGAUUAUUGCGGCGGUAGUUGAAACGCUGUUCCCGAUGGUGGUCUCGUCGGUGACAAGCGGCCGUGGCAGCUACAUUUGAUUGUCCGCCGCCGGCGAUCAGUUCAUGGGGGGAGCGAGAAAGAGAGAGAAAGUGAAAGUGUAGGGAUUAGGGUUUUCUUUUUGGUUUAAAAGGAAAGAGGAAUAGGGUUUGA